rnacentral:rRNA from 1 species
UACGGAAGGCAGCAGUGGGGAAUAUUGCACAAUGGGCGCAAGCCUGAUGCAGCCAUGCCGCGUGUAUGAAGAAGGCCUUCGGGUUGUAAAGUACUUUCAGCGGGGAGGAAGGCGAUGCGGUUAAUAACCGCGUCGAUUGACGUUACCCGCAGAAGAAGCACCGGCUAACUCCGUGCCAGCAGCCGCGGUAAUACGGAGGGUGCAAGCGUUAAUCGGAAUUACUGGGCGUAAAGCGCACGCAGGCGGUCUGUUAAGUCAGAUGUGAAAUCCCCCGGGCUUAACCUGGGAACUGCAUUUUGAACUGGCAGGCUUGAGUCUUGUAGAGGGGGUAGAAUUCCAGGUGUAGCGGUGAAAUGCGUAGAGAUCUGGAGGAAUACCGGUGGCGAAGGCGGCCCCUGGGACAAAGCUGACGCUCAGGUGCGAAAGCGUGGGGAGCAAACAGGGAUUAGGAUACC